GGCUCAGGAUGAACGCUAGCUACAGGCUUAACACAUGCAAGUCGAGGGGCAGCAUGGUCUUAGCUUGCUAAGGCCGAUGGCGACCGGCGCACGGGUGAGUAACACGUAUCCAACCUGCCGUCUACUCUUGGGACAGCCUUCUGAAAGGAAGAUUAAUACAAGAUGGCAUCAUGAGUCCGCAUGUUCACAUGAUUAAAGGGUAUUCCGGUAGACGAUGGGGUUGCGUUCCAUUAGAUAGUAGGCGGGGUAACGGCCCACCUAGUCUUCGAUGGAUAGGGGGUUCUGAGAGGAAGGUCCCCCCACAUUGGAACUGAGACACGGUCCAAACUCCUACGGGAGGCAGCAGUGAGGAAUAUUGGUCAAUGGGCGAGAGCCUGAACCAGCCAAGUAGCGUGAAGGAUGACUGCCCUAUGGGUUGUAAACUUCUUUUAUAAAGGAAUAAAGUCGGGUAUGGAUACCCGUUUGCAUGUACUUUAUGAAUAAGGAUCGGCUAACUCCGUG
rnacentral:rRNA from 1 species